GAGCGGUUACAUCCACAGAGAAGAGGAUGGGAUGUAACGGACUGGGGUAAGGCCUGAGCAGACGGAUGAGUGACAGGGCUAUGGGCGUAUUAUCUCCCCUUCACCCAACACGGCAUCCUGCUCUACUAAACUGUCUACGACCUCAUCUGGAUUUGUGAAGCGGGAACCUCAGGCACUGGUCCCGUAAUGGUGCGGCAUCAUAGAUGGACCUCCAACUGAAGCGGCAAACCGUUCCACAAUGGCUAAAGCUCUGAUGAAUGUUUCUAACUGGCGGGCAGCACCUGGGGGUCAUGAGUAUCAUGGGCUUCUCAGGAUGGUGGUUGUCCCUGCCGUGGUCCUGCCGUGCGCCUGGCUUGCUACUCGCAAUUAUUUGAAUCAUCUGUUAUAGGAAAUGAAUGUAUUGUACAUGUUUUACAUUGUUCAUUCUGUACACAUGGCAUCCAUUGUAGUCUGUCCAUUCCCAGGGCAGGAAUUCCUCCUAUGACGUUCUCCUUAAGGAAGGUGGAAGGGUUUUUCAUUUUUUGCGGAGUAUUUCCUGUGCCGAUGGUGGGUUUCGGGACAGAGAAUGUCGCAUGUGUACAGACUGUAAAGCCCUCUGAGGCCAAUUUGUGAUUUUGGGCUAUACAAAAUAAAAUUAAUUGAAUUCUCCUUGAUGAACCCAAUAGUAAGAUAAAGAAAUCUGCUGUUUAUUAGGUUAGGAUGACAAAAAACAUGACCCAUUAACGAUACAAGACAGUUAUUUUCCGUUUUCACGGUUUCCAUGUCUCCGCCCCUUCCUCGAUCACAGCUCUUUGUUAGGCCUAAAUAUUUGUGAGAAAGCCUAAUAAAUAAAUAAUAAUGUAUAUUUUAUUUCUAUAUAAAAUGUCCAUUCACUUCAUUUGAAUUCAAUUGAUUUAGUUUUGGCUCGCCCCGAAUCAACAAUUACAAAAUUGC
ensembl:lncRNA